GACGAACCGUGCGAACGUUGUUCGGAUUCACUGGGCUUAAAGGGCGCGUAGGCGGGUGGUCAAGUCAGAGGUGAAAUCUUUCGGCUCAACCGGAAAAGUGCCCCUGAUACUGGUCACCUCGAGGGAGGUAGGGGCAUGUGGAACUUCCGGUGGAGCGGUGAAAUGCGUAGAUAUCGGAAGGAACGCCGGUGGCGAAAGCGACGUGCUGGACCUCUUCUGACGCUGAGGCGCGAAAAGCCCAGGGGGAGCAAAACGGGG
rnacentral:rRNA from 1 species